rnacentral:tRNA from 1 species
UGGGGCGUCGGCAAGUGGCAAGCCCCGGGAUUUUGGUUCCCGUAACGGAGGUUCGAAUCCUCCCGCCCCAG